CCCACAACCACCCACCAGCCCCCACGAUCGACCACUCUCCCCAAUCUCCACGACCUGCCUCCACUGCCGCAUCUGCGCCAAGCCCCGCCGCCCACCACCACCUACCCGGCAACCGGCGACCAGGGGGACGGACCCAACCACCGCACCCCACCACCACCAUCUCCCUCGCGCCACCAGCCUCCCCUGCCCCGCCUUCCUAUCUCGAUCGCCGCCGCCGCGGCACAGGCCCCCCCGACCAGCCAACUACCUCCGGCGGCCAAGCCCGCCCAGCAACAACCAGAUCCGGUGGGAUCCGACUCCACCUCCCCUAGUCUCCCCCUCCCCAACCGCCCAGUCACCGGCCAAGGCGCACCGAGGCACCGCCCUCCCUCCCGGCUAGCUGCGCUGCCGAGCCGCUUCUCGCGACGCCUCCCCUCCCCGCGCGCGAGGUCCUGCGCUCUGAACGGAGGCGUGGACACCCGCGGCGGCGCCGUGUAUCUCCCACGACAAGGCCCCCUCCCCACCCCCAAGGCAGCAAUCGGCUCCACGCCACUGACCCUCCCCUCUUCUCCUCUGCCUCGGUCACAUUGAGGGCUGACGGGUGCAUCUAGCUCCGCUGCUUGCCGGCGUCUACAACCCGUGCAGUGACAAGUUGAAAAACGGAAGGAGGAGCACCUCCUCAAGCCUCCGUUAAGAGCGCAGGACCUGCGGGACAGCCCUCCCUUUCCAAGCACGCGGCUGAGCCAGGUUGGUUGUUUAGAGGUUUUACAAGUUGUUUGAAGUUCAGUUCGGCCGCGACAGAGCUCCCCGUCGUGUAGUCCACUUCACACCCACCGGCGUGUUCUCCCUUCCUCCUCUGCGUGACCCAUCAUGCUGUCCACAUUGCCACGCUCCUGGGGUUUCAGGGCUGCACCGACGACAUAACGGCGAGCGGGAGAGAAGGAGCAUGUGCGCGUGCAGUGCGGUUCGCCUCGUCCGUCCAGUUCCCCAAUACAAGGCUGCAGUUUUCCUUUUCCCCGAUGAUGAAGACAGUCAGAUUUGUUGCAUCUUGUGCAUAUUGCAGGAUUUUGAAAAAAGCAAUGUGAAGGUUUCAUCAAGAUCUCGCGCAAUCCAUCUCACAGCCUAGCUCUGCAUCGACGCCUAGGCAAUUUCUGUUUCUGUGACUUGCGAUGUUGGUGGUAAUUUGAUGAAGCAUCAAGCCGGUAAUUUGAUGAAGCAUCAAGCCACGCAGGCGUCGAUGUUGGUGGACUUGCGAUGCAGAGCAGUUUCUGUGAUCGUUGUCGUGUAACCCAUUGCUGCUAGCCUGUGGUUCGUUGUAUGUGGGUGUGCGCUUCAGCCUCCGUGGGUGUGCGGGUGGGAGACCAAUUACUGCUGCUCAGUUUGUUGUGUAGAGAAGAAAACUGAAGUGCACUACAAUACAGUUUCUUUUUGUAAAAUGCAGACAUUACCUUUUGCUUUUGUUUUUGGACUCACGUACUCAUACAGAUGGUUCGCUAGCUUGUUCCUGCCAUAGUGGUUCACUUGUUCGAAGUUCUUUGUCAUACGUAGUAAAAGGACAACAACAAAAAUAGUGAAGAAUAAACUAAUUUGUAGUUGAUCGACAACCACAA